rnacentral:rRNA from 1 species
GUAACUUCGGGAGAAGGUGCGCCCUUGGUAUGUGAAGAGACUUGCUCUUGGAGCAGAAUAGGGUUGCAGUGAAAAGGUGGCUGCGACUGUUUAAUAAAAACACAGCACUCUGCAAACACGAAAGUGGACGUAUAGGGUGUGACGCCUGCCGGUGCUGGAAGAUUAAAUGAUGGGGUGCAAGCUCUUGAUUGAAGUCCCAGUAAACGGCGGCCGUAACUAUAACGGUCCUAAGGUAGCGAAAUUCCUUGUCGGGUAAGUUCCGACCUGCACGAAUGGCGUAACGAUGGCCACACUGUCUCCUCUUGGGACUCAGCGAAGUUGAAGUGUUUGUGAAGAUGCAAUCUACCCGCGGCUAGACGGAAAGACCCCAUGAACCUUUACUGUAGCUUUGCAUUGGACUUUGACGGGAUUUGUGUAGGAUAGGUGGGAGGCAUUGAAGCGGGGACGCUAGUUCUCGUGGAGCCAACCUUGAAAUACCACCCUGGUGUCGUUGAGGUUCUAACCUGGCCCCCUGAAUCGGGGGUGGGGACCGUGCAUGGCAGGCAGUUUGACUGGGGCGGUCUCCUCCUAAAGUGUAACGGAGGAGUACGAAGGUCUUCUAGGUACGGUCGGACAUCGUACUGAUAGUGCAAUGGCAAAAGAAGGCUUGACUGCGAGACCCACAAGUCGAGCAGGUGCGAAAGCAGGUCAUAGUGAUCCGGUGGUUCUGUAUGGAAGGGCCAUCGCUCAACGGAUAAAAGGUACUCUGGGGAUAACAGGCUGAUUCCACCCAAGAGUUCAUAUCGACGGUGGAGUUUGGCACCUCGAUGUCGGCUCAUCACAUCCUGGGGCUGUAGUCGGUCCCAAGGGUAUGGCUGUUCGCCAUUUAAAGUGGUACGUGAGCUGGGUUCAAAACGUCGUGAGACAGUUUGGUCCCUAUCUGCCGUGGGCGCUGGAUAUUUGAGGGGACCUGCUCCUAGUACGAGAGGACCGGAGUGGACGUAUCUCUGGUGGACCGGUUGUCACGCCAGUGGCAUCGCCGGGUAGCUAAAUACGGAAGAGAUAAACGCUGAAAGCAUCUAAGCGUGAAACUCGCCUCAAGAUAAGAUAUCCCGGGGGUUUAACCCCCCUGAAGGGUCGUCGUAGACCACGACGUUGAUAGGCCGGGUGUGGAAGCGCAGCAAUGCGUUAAGCUAACCGGUACUAAUUGCCCGUGCGGCUUGACCCU